rnacentral:rRNA from 1 species
AGAGUUUGAUUCUGGCUCAGGACGAACGCUGGCGGCGUGCCUAACACAUGCAAGUCGAACGAGAAUCUUUGGAAUGAUUCUUUCGGGAUGAAUUCCAAAGAGGAAAGUGGCGGACGGGCGAGUAACGCGUGAGUAACCUGCCCAUAAGAGGGGGAUAAUCCAUGGAAACGUGGACUAAUACCGCAUAUUGUAGUUAAGUUGCAUGACUUGAUUAUGAAAGAUUUAUCGCUUAUGGAUGGACUCGCGUCAGAUUAGAUAGUUGGUGAGGUAACGGCUCACCAAGUCAACGAUCUGUAGCCGAACUGAGAGGUUGAUCGGCCGCAUUGGGACUGAGACACGGCCCAG